rnacentral:rRNA from 1 species
AGUAUAAUGUGGGAAUCUGCCUUUUGGUUUGGAAUAACACGGGGAAACUUGUGCUAAUACCGAAUAAGCCCUUACGGGGAAAGUUUUAACGCCGAAAGAUGAGCCCGCACUUGAUUAGCUAGUUGGUAAGGUAAAAGCUUACCAAGGCAAUGAUCAAUAGCUGUUCUUAGAGGAAGACCAGCCACAUUGGGACUGAGACACGGCCCAGACUCCUACGGGAGGCAGCAGUGGGGAAUCUUGCACAAUGGGGGAAACCCUGAUGCAGCGAUGCCGCGUGAGUGAAGAAGGCCUUUGGGUUGUAAAACUCUUUCGUCGGGGAAGAAAAUGACUGUACCCGAAUAAGGAGGUCCGGCUAACUUCGUGCCAGCAGCCGCGGUAAUACGAAGGGACCUAGCGUAGUUCGGAAUUACUGGGCUUAAAGAGCUCGUAGGUGGUUAAAAAAGUUGAUGGUGAAAUCCCAAGGCUCAACCUUGGAACUGCCAUCAAAACUUUUUAGCUAGAGUGUGAUAGAGGUAAGUGGAAUUUCUAGUGUAGAGGUGAAAUUCGUAGAUAUUAGAAAGAACACCAAAUGCGAAGGCAACUUACUGGGUCACUACUGACACUGAGGAGCGAAAGCAUGGGUAGCGAAGAGGAUUAGAUACCCUCGUAGUCCAUGCCGUAAACGAUGUGUGCUAGACGUUGGAAAUAUAUUUUUCAGUGUCGCAGCGAAAGCAUUAAGCACACCGCCUGGGGAGUACGACCGCAAGGGUUAAAACUCAAAUGAAUUGACGGGGACCCGCACAAGCAGUGGAGCAUGUGGUUUAAUUCGAAGAUACGCGCA